CGGAGAAGGAGCAUGAGAAACGGCUACCACAUCUAAGGAAGGCAGCAGGCGCGUAAAUUACCCAAUCCUGACUCAGGGAGGUAGUGACAAGAAAUAACAACCCGAGGGAUUCACAUCCUUACGGGAUUGGAAUGAGAACAAUUUAAAUCACUUAGCGAGGAUCAAUUGGAGGGCAAGUCUGGUGCCAGCAGCCGCGUUAAUUCCAGCUCCAAUAGCGUAUAUUAAAGUUGUUGCGGUUAAAAAGCUCGUAGAUGAACUUCUGGCGGUGGCAGAUAUGGCUUCGGUCAGUCUGUACAGGGCGUGCAUCUGGCCCUUUCAAGUGGAACGUGUCUGCACUUUAUUGUGUGGUGCGAGAUCCUGGGCUUUUACUUUGAGGAAAUCAGAGUGUUCCAAGCAGGCCCUCGUCGUGCAUAGCUCAGCAUGGAAUAAUAGCAUUGGUCUUCGUUUCUAACCUGUUGGUUGCAAGAAGCGAGGUAAUGAUUAAUAGGGAUACUUGGGGGCACUCGUAUUUAAUUGUCAGAGGUGAAAUCAUGGAUUUGUUAAAGACUAACUUAUGCGAAAGCGUUUGCCAAGGAUGUUUUCAUCUGAUCAAGAACGAAAGUUAGGGGAUCGAAGACGAUCAGAUACCGUCCUAGUCUUAACUAUAAUCCAUGCCGGCUAGAGAUCGGAGGUACGUUCGAUUUGUGACACCUUCAGCAUCUUGAGAGAAAUCAAAGCCUUUGGGUUUCGGGGGGAGUAUGGUCGCAAGGCUGAAACUUAAAGGAAUUGACGGAAGGGCACCCCCAGGAGUGGAGCCUGCGGCUUAAUUUGACUCAACCCGGGGAAACUUAUUUCAGCAAAACAUGAGUGGGAUUGACAGAUUGAGACCUCUUUCUAGAUUGUAUGGGGUGUGGCGCAUGUACGUUCUUAGUUGGUGGAGUGAUUUGUCUGGUUAAUUCCGUUAACGAACGAGACCUUAACAUGCUAGAUAGUCGAUGUGUUACGUACGCAUUGUACUUGUUAGAGGGAUAUGGGUUAUAAGGACAAGGAAGUAUGAGACAAUAACAGGUCUGUGAUGUCCAUAGAUGUUGAAAGCGGCCCGCGCGUCAUGCUGUCCUGUAACAGCAAGUUACAUCCUGUCUUGGAAAAGAAGGGGUAAUCUAUAAAACAGGACGUGGUAGGGAUAGAUCUUUGGAAUUAUAGAUCUUGAACGAAGAAUACUUAGUAAGUACAAUUCAUCAACUUGGGCUGAUUACGUCCCUGUCCUUCGUACACACCGUCCGUCGCUCCUACCGAAUUCGAGCGAUAUGGUGAACCUCCUGGACCGUGAAACUCCUCGUGGGUUUUGUGGAAAGUUUAGUAAACCUUAUCGUUUAGAGGAAGGAGAAGUCGUAACAAGGUAACC
rnacentral:rRNA from 1 species